UACGGAAGGCAGCAGUGGGGAAUAUUGCACAAUGGGCGCAAGCCUGAUGCAGCCAUGCCGCGUGUAUGAAGAAGGCCUUCGGGUUGUAAAGUACUUUCAGUCGUGAGGAAGGUGUUAAGGUUAAUAACCUUAGCAAUUGACGUUAGCGACAGAAGAAGCACCGGCUAACUCCGUGCCAGCAGCCGCGGUAAUACGGAGGGUGCGAGCGUUAAAUCGGAAUUACUGGGCGUAAAGGGCACGCAGGCGGUUAAUUAAGUUGGAUGUGAAAUCCCCGGGCUUAACCUGGGAAUGGCAUUCAAGACUGGUUAGCUAGAGUCUUGUAGAGGGGGUAGAAUUCCAUGUGUAGCGGUGAAAAUGCGUAGAGAUGUGGAGGAAUACCGGUGGCGAAAGGCGGCCCCUGGACAAAAGGACUGACGCUCAUGUGCGAAAAGCGUGGGGAGCAAAACAGGGAUUAGAUACC
rnacentral:rRNA from 1 species